AACUUAAGCAUAUCAA
rnacentral:rRNA from 1 species